UACGUAGGGGGCAAGCGUUAUCCGGAUUUACUGGGUGUAAAGGGAGCGUAGACGGCGGUGCAAGCCAGAUGUGAAAGCCCGGGGCUCAACCCCGGGACUGCAUUUGGAACUGUGCUGCUAGAGUGUCGGAGAGGCAGGCGGAAUUCCUAGUGUAGCGGUGAAAUGCGUAGAUAUAACUUAGAACACCGAUAGCGAAGGCAGCUUACCAGACUGAGUCUGACGCUGAUGCACGAGAGCAUGGGUAGCGAACAGG
rnacentral:rRNA from 1 species